GUGCUCACUUUGGCAGCACAUAUACCAAAGUUGGAAUGAUACAGAGAUGAUUAGCAUGGCCCCUGCACAAGGAUGACAGGAAAAUUCAUGAAGUAUUCCAUAUUUUU
rnacentral:snRNA from 1 species